rnacentral:misc_RNA from 1 species
UGAUACAAGGGUCAAAAGGUCAUGUGUUUCAUGCUUGCAUGAAAAAACAUGAUCUUUUGAUCCCUACAUCAAGGAUAUGAGCAGCUUUAUGAAGACGUUGGUACUUAGGACGCGUAGUCUGCGUCCUUACGUACCA